AUACGCAUAUCAGAUAAAUGUAAAGAUGAGUGAUUAU
rnacentral:guide_RNA from 1 species